ensembl:lncRNA
CAGACGAAUGUGGAAAGACGGAGCAUCCUCGGGCUCUUUACAAGUCUGGCUCAGAUGUCUCGGCUUUACUCGGCACAUAAAUCCAGUUUGGGUGCUUCACACUUUCUGUUUGCUGUAAUCUUUUGUUAGGAUCUGCGAGAGUCUCUGCAAACCUCCGAGCCUUAGAAACCAGAGCGGCCUUGUAGGCUCCCCCCAUAACCCCACCGCCCCGAAGAAGGACCAGCACCGCGCGCACUCAGCUCCUGGAUGUGGGUCAUGCUUAAAUAUGAAUUUUUCAUAUCUUUUGCAACUGUCCCCUGAUUUUGGCCCUGCAUUCAAAGUCGCAGCGCAGCUGGUGGAAAUGUGACACGGCCCCACCCUCGCUGUGUGAACUUCCCUCGGAAACUUUCCACUAAGCACACAUGAUGGUUCCUUUGUGAGUGCGCAUGCGCCAUUAGCGCGUGCUGCCUGCUGUAACC